rnacentral:misc_RNA from 1 species
GUGAGAUGGAACUAGAGAUCCAGAGAUAUGCAAUAUUUCCUCAUCAAAACUCUUCACCAAAAAUCGUAUCAUUGUCCCAACCUUUAUUACAUGGUGCUUGUGAGCUCUGCUGACAAACAUUUCUUCUCCAUGUUUUGUUCUAUGCUUGAAUUCGUCGCGAAUGUCUUUAUCGGUUAUUACAGCAGAAGCAAAACCUAAGACAAUAAUAUGGAUUGAUUCUUGCCUAAGCUUCACCAACUUUCCCUCUAAAAGCAUGUUUGGCUUUGGAGAGAAAAGUAAUAGCUUUGCCUUUAUUGUCACACCAAAAUAGGGAUGCACUCCAGACAGAAUCUUCGCAUUUUUAUCGAUAAUUUUGGCCUCAUAAGCCAG